GCAAAGUGCAGUGGGGCAUUCCUGUAGUCCCAGCUACUUGGGAAGCUGACAUAGGAGGAUCACUUGACCCAGGAAUUCUGGGCUGUAGAACGGCCCCUAUAAGAUAGUUGGGCUGGGUAUAGAAUUCCAGUUUGGAAAUUGCUUUCCUGCGCUAUGCUGAUCAAGUGUCUGCACUAAGUUCAGCAUCAAUAUGGUGACCUCUCGAGGUCAGGGAACCACCAGGUUGCCUAAGGAGGCAUGAACUGGCCCAGGUCAUAGAUGGAGCAGGUCAAAACUCCCGUGCUGAUCGGUAGUGGGAUCGUGCCUAUGAAUAGCCACUACACUGCAGCCUGGGCAAUAUAGUGAGACCGGUCUCU
ensembl:misc_RNA Metazoa_SRP Metazoan signal recognition particle RNA